GGGGAGGAAAGUCCGGACUCCAGAGAGCAGCGCGCCUCGUAACGCGAGGUCAGGUUAAAACCUGAAGGAAAGUGGCACAGAAAAGACACGGCCGAACUCGAGCCUAAAGCUCGGGUGGCAAAGGUGAAAACGGGUGGUAAGAGCACCCGACGUAAAAGACCGGUAACGGUCACGUGCUAAACCCCGCGCGGAGCAAGACCAAAAAGAGUGAGAGGCGGCUCGCCUCGUUAUGAGCUCGAGUAGGUCGCAUCGAGGCUGUUGGCAACAACAGCCCCAGACAGAUUAUCGCACAAAUACAGAAUCCGGCUUAUAGGCCUGCCCAAACA
rnacentral:RNase_P_RNA from 1 species